CCAUCUAGGUCCAUAAUCCUAUAAAACUGGUUUUGUUCCCAGAGGCUUCAGACCUCCUUCUGGACCCUUUGAACACCUACAGCUAGACUUCAUUCAACUGCUACUCAUUAUUGGUUAUGAAUAUGUUCUUGUUAUUGUAUGUGGUUUUCCAGAAGGGUUGAAGUUUUCUCCUGCUACAAGGCUGAUGUCCUCAUGGCAGCAAGGAAACUGUUAGAAAUUGCGUUUCCCACCUGGUAUACCUUUCCCAAUCUCCAGCGACAGAAGAACCCACCUUCACCAGGCAAAUCAAGGAACCUGGAUGAAAACCUUGCAAACUUCUUGGAAUUAUCAUUGUCCCUAUCAUCCUCAAUCUUCAGGGGUUUCUUUUACUGCUGCUGUCUGUACUGCUGCUGUGGUUUAAGCCCUCAAUUUGAACGCCAUCUGGCAAAAACACCUACCUCCAAAAGCCCCUCCAUGAUGGCUCAGGGAAUAUGGCAGAAGAGGUGGGCGUGUGAGAUCGCAAGAGCUGGAUUUGAGGGGUGGAGUGUCUGAGCCAGACGAACACCAUCUUGGACAAAGCUGCCAUGAUGAUCGUUCUGCGACCUGAAGACUUCUUCAGCACAGCAACACACCCCUUAUUUUUUCUGUUUGUUUAACCGCACCCUUGAGUACACUCUUGGGGUAGAACAACCUUAACCUGCUGUAGAGGUAUGACUGUGAUCCUCAAACAUUUCCUCCUGGGUAGUCUCCUCGGCACGUACUCCCCAGCCUGGAGUGCUAUAAAAGCGAGUCUUACGGGAGGUGGGGUUGUGGAGAUCUAUUCACUUUGUAGCUACCCAAGACAUACCUCUGUCUGUAAGUCCCUUUAAUAAACCAUUUCUUGCGAA